rnacentral:rRNA from 1 species
UACGUAGGGGGCAAGCGUUGUCCGGAUUCAUUGGGCGUAAAGAGCGUGUAGGCGGCCAGGUAGGUCGGUUGUGAAAACUGGAGGCUCAACCUUCAGAGGUCGACCGAAACCAUCUGGCUAGAGUCCGGGAGAGGAGAGUGGAAUUCCAGGUGUAGCGGUGAAAUGCGUAGAUAUCAGGAAGAACACCCGUGGCGAAGGCGGCUCUCUGGGACGGUACUGACGCUGAGACGCGAAAGCGUGGGGAGCGAACAGG